rnacentral:rRNA from 1 species
GUAUUGGACUACCGUGGCAGUGACGGGUAACGGGGAAUUAGGGUUCGAUUCCGGAGGGGGAGCCUGAGAAACGGCUACCACAUCUAAGGAAGGCAGCAGGCGCGCAAAUUACCCAAUGAAAACAGUUUCGAGGUAGUGACGAGAAAUAACAAUACAGGGCAUUUUAUGCUCUGUAAUUGGAAUGAUGGGAAUGUAAAACCCUUUCAGAGUAACAAUUGGAGGGCAAGUCUGGUGCCAGCAGCCGCGGUAAUUCCAGCUCCAAUAGUGUAUAUUAGAGUUGUUGCAGUUAAAAAGCUCGUAGUUGGAUUUCUGUCGUGGUCAUCCGGUACCGCCCGUAUGGGUGUGCACCUGGUUUGCCCUCGGCUUUCUUCCGGUAGCCUUCGGCGCUUCACUGCGUGCUGUUGGUGUGUCCGGAACUUUUACUUUGAGAAAAAUAGAGUGUUUCAAGCAGGCUUGUCGCCCUGA